rnacentral:rRNA from 1 species
GAUGAACGCUGGCGGCGUGCCUAAUACAUGCAAGUCGAGCGAACGGACGAGAAGCUUGCUUCUCUGAUGUUAGCGGCGGACGGGUGAGUAACACGUGGAUAACCUACCUAUAAGACUGGGAUAACUUCGGGAAACCGUAGCUAAUACCGGAUAAUAUUUUGAACCGCAUGGUUCAAAAGUGAAAGACGGUCUUGCUGUCACUUAUAGAUGGAUCCGCGCUGCAUUAGCUAGUUGGUAAGGUAACGGCUUACCAAGGCAACGAUGCAUAGCCGACCUGAGAGGGUGAUCGGCCACACUGGAACUGAGACACGGUCCAGACUCCUACGGGAGGCAGCAGUAGGGAAUCUUCCGCAAUGGGCGAAAGCCUGACGGAGCAACGCCGCGUGAGUGAUGAAGGUCUUCGUAUCGUAAAACUCUGUUAUUAGGGAAGAACAUAUGUGUAAGUAACUGUGCACAUCUUGACGGUACCUAAUCAGAAAGCCACGGCUAACUACGUG